GCCGGAAUGGCGGAAUCGGUAGACGCAGCGGACUCAAAAUCCGCCGGGCUAAACACCUGUGUGGGUUCGAGUCCCACUUCCGGCACCA
rnacentral:tRNA from 1 species